ACCCAACUGAAGAGUCCCAGGUAAGACGGAACGCGCGUCCUAGAU
rfam:Schistosoma mattheei strain Denwood, Zambia genome assembly, scaffold: SMTD_scaffold0011118